AGCUCCAAUAGCGUAUAUUAAAGUUGUUGCAGUUAAAAAGCUCGUAGUUGGAUCUCGGGUCCCAGCUUUGCGGUCUGACGCAUUGUUAGUUACUGCUUGGCUGGCCUACCUCCCGGUUCGUCCUUGGUGCUCUUGACUGAGUGUCUCGGAUGGCCGGAAAGUUUACUUUGAAAAAAUUAGAGUGUUCAAAGCAGGCCGCGUCGCCUGAAUAAUGGUGCAUGGAAUAAUGGAAUAGGACCUCGGUUCUAUUUUGCUGGUUUUCGGAGCUAGAGGUAAUGAUUAAGAGGGACUGACGGGGGCAUUCGUAUUACGGUGUUAGAGGUGAAAUUCUUGGAUCGCCGUAAGACGAACUACUGCGAAAGCAUUUGCCAAGAAUGUUUUCU
rnacentral:rRNA from 1 species